ACAGUAUGUGGGAAUUAUGGGAGCUAUAAUUCAAGAUGAGAUUUGGGUGGGACACAGCCAAACCAUAUCACUAGGUAAGAAGAGGGCUCCAUGCUAAGGAACAGGAUAUGCAAAGACCCUGUGGCAGGAGGAACUCUACCUGCUUUUUUGAAGAAUUCCAUAAGGUAGCCUUCAGUGGAGCUGAGUAGAGAGUGGGGGAGAGUGGGCUAAAACAUGAGGGGAGAAGUAGGCAAAAGCUAAAUCUCAUCAGGACCUUAUAGACAAUUGACAGAUGUUUGUCUUUAUCCAGUAAGGUGUUUGUAUGCUCCUUAAGUGGCAGCGGGGAGUGAGCAGAGCAGUGAAGAUAAACAUGAAAGCUGGUGGUAACAAAUUCUGAUACCUCCUCUAUUCCAAAAGGAAAGGCAGAACUCAGAGGCACCAUCCUCCUGUUGUGUUUGCAAGCUGUUGACACAACCUGGAAAGGUUAAAAGUUUUCAACAGACUUGUCAGAGUUUGUGUUCAAUGGAAACUGACAGAGCCUACCGGCUGAGGGGCUAAUUUUAAUAGAAAUAACCUAGGUGCGUUUGUUAAUUUUCUCCGUUCCCUCAAUGACCUGUCUGCAUAGCGUGAAGGUGCUUUGAUGUGACCAGGAGAACAGAAGGAUAUUUUGUGCAUAGCUGACCGUGAGAGGAAUGCUGGUUUUGCAAUGAGGAAGCACAGGAAGAUGACAGAACAAUGAGCAUAAGACAUGCUGGGUGCAUUUUUUGGACCUUACCACAUCUUGUUUGAGAGAAGUGGGACCAAUGCUGAUGAAACUCUUUCCCAUGGUGUGUUCUAUAUUCAUUGGAUGGGCAUCGCCUACGGCUGGAGCAGGGCUGAGCUCUGUACUGGUGUCUCUUAAAACACACCAGACAGCAACAGCUGAGAUACCUACUACCUGGAUCUGCUUGAUUAGAUCAUACGGUCAUAUUUGAUUACUUAGAAUGGGCUUCUGGAGGAUCUGUUGCUGAUUGCACUGAAACCAGAAGUUGUACUUGGCCAAGGACGAGCUAACCCCAAACAGCAAGAGGUUUGAGUUGGCUCCAAAGCACAAGCCUCACAAAUAUCCCGUGAGUCUCCCACAGGCUUGGGGCUCUCUGUUUAGAAUUAGAACCUAAUCUUCAAAUAUCCCUUUACCCUCUUGCCUCAAAAAGGAAGGCAGUGAAGAGCAGCAGCAAGGCAUCCUGGAUGAGCACUGGAAGGGGAGAAUGCUCAUGUUUUAGUCGUGGGCUUUCCACCAGUUAGCUGUGCAGCUUUGGGCAGAUACUUGAACUUCUCUGGUGCUCUGUUUCUUCAUGUUUAAAUGAGAGGAUUAAACUGUAUGACUUUUGGGUCGAAAGUACGUCUCUGCCAUCAGUAUCAUAACAAUUAUUGAAAUUGCUGCCUAGAAUCUUCCGCUACCACAGUGUAUUUUGAUUGGACUGUUUAUUGCCUUAGCAAACACAAUGCAGUGCUGUGUCUUUGGCAUCUUGCCAGGAAAGAUGAGCCAAUUUUCUCGUGUUGCUUCUGGAUGUCAAAACAUUCUCAUCUGACCAUGCCACAGAAGAAGUUUGUUGAGAGUGUGACUGACUGACAUAAUGACUGAUUGGCUGAUAACGGCAGCUGACAGUGAUUGAUUGAGUGUAAAAUUAUCUGUUCUCAUUACUUCUGAAAUUGAAUUCAGAUUGGUUCUAUUGGAGGGUUUCCAUGGAGACCAUAACCUGCUAUAGCAAGUGUUUGUGGAUGCAAUGUUUUAUUGUGAUCAAUACCUGUUUCCUCUGCUGGUCCAAAGAAAUUAUUAAUGAUUAUAGUCAAGUAGAAAGAGGCAACCAUAUAUAAGAAGAAAAAAACUCUCAUAUUUUGUCUCAUUGCUACAUAAAACAAAUGUGGGCCUUCCCAGACUUGCGCUUUGGCUAACUAGUUCAUAAUACGUUCGAUAACUUGCCAUUCUUCUUUUGCUAUUAAUGCAGAGGGUUUGCUUUGGAAAAAAGAAAAGUAUUUCUAGGACUCUUUCUCUCUUUGAAGAAGAUCAGAAUAAUAGACGAAUGUUCAUACUUGGUUUUUUUUUAAAUGCGAUGUUACAGAAACAACAAACAUUUAAUCAAAUCUUAAACACACCCAUGUUAAUGCAGAGACAGAGAUGGUCCCUCAGGCUUUUUCUGGGUUGUUUCCAUGAAUGAUAAAGUCAUUAAACAAUUUCAUAGGCUUGCCUUAUUGAUCUCUCACAAUGGCAUGCUAUGUCUGCUCUUCAGGAAAGCCUUUCCUGACUGCCCCCAUCAGAGUUAAUUACUACUUACUCUGUGUUCGCAUGGCCUUCUUCCAUCUUCUAUUAUAGCAUUCAUCUCAGGCCACCUUGCCUUACAAUUACUUGUAUCUCUUUUUCCCACUAGAUUAUGACCUCCUUGAGGACAGGGUGAUUUUCUUGUUGCUCUUUGUAUUAUCCUCAGCAUCUAGGUGAAUCUCUGAUACAUCACAAGGGUUCAAUAAAUGCUCAUUGAAUUGAAUUAACUGGAUCUGCAUUCCAAGGUCAUCUCUUCCUAGACUGGUGUUGAAUGGGAUUCCCAUGAAGUGAGGCAGCAGAGUGCGUGCUUGCUGGUUCUGUUGCUUUGUCUCCUGCCCUGUGGCUGCGUCUGUGCCCAAGAGGAUUGUUAGGAUAUAUUGUGCUACAGGAGAUUGAUAUUGUAUAGGAUGUCUGUACAGCUUAUAGACUGGUGCUGACCGUACUGAAAUGAUGGUGGGAGGAUACCUAAUAAGGAUUCUAUUUUAUGCUUAGCUGUAUUCAUUCAUUGGUUUGGUUGGAAUCUGCUUCAGCGUACUUCCUCUACCCAAAUUUGGCUCAUUAGCUGAAAUCACUUUGGGAUGAAUCCACUGUUAAUAGUGGCUAACAUUUUUCAUGCACUUACGACAUGUCUGGCACAGUACUAAGUACUUUACAUAUUUUUCAAUUCUUACACAUUGCUCCCAUUAUCCCAUUUUGAAGAUAAGGAGACUGAAGCACAGAGUGUUUAUUUCCUAAGGUCACACAGCUAGGAAGUAGAGGAGCUAGGAUUUGAAUUCCUAUAGUCUAGCUUCCUACCCCAUUCUUAAGCUAUCUACCCUGUUGCCGCCUGACAAAAGUGUGUUUCAAAAUUUAAUUCCUGAACUGACUGCAUCAAAAUCCCCUGUAGUGUUUGUUAAAAGUGAAGAUACCCCAAGACCUACUGAUUCAGGUUGUUUUCACCGAGGCCAGCAAAUCUGCACCAACAUGUUUUAUUCUGUUCUGUACCUCAAGCUUUGAUGCUGCUUUGUUUUCUUGUUUUGGGAGAAGGGCAGGGGUGGGGGUGGAGGCAAGCGAGUCCAAUACUACAACUUUAGAAAUCUCUGCUCUAGGGUGAACACUCUCUUUGAGACUUCUAAAUUAAAGUCAAGUCUUUUGGAUUUUUGUUUCUUUGUACUGCCUAACUUUAGAAAGACCUGGAAGCGGUAACAUGAAAACAUUUUUAGAGAGAAUUACCAGGCAUUUUUGGUAGAAUGAGUGUUUAAUGGAACAGUCCAGAGAACUCAUCAAAGAUGUUUAUUAAAACGCGCAGACCUGCUCCAAUUAAGGGCCCAGUCAGUGGUGUUAACAGUGAAGGGACUGUUCCAGAGGCGUGCUGCACGGGACGCCCACCCCAAAUACAAAUGGUUUGCCAGUAGCUCACAAAUGAACCCCAUUGCCUUGCACUUAAGCUUCCUGAAGCACAUACAUAUCCUGCUUUGUGCUUUCCGCCCUAUAGUAAACGCAAACCAAUGGAGAUGUGAAGCAAUCUAAUAGCAACAAGGCAAACCUCUACUUCCUCUAAAGAGGAUUGCAUCCUCUUGCUAUCUUUGCCGAUGCUCUCCUACAGACCCAUCCCUGUCAUGUCUUUCCUGUCUUUCUAGUAGAAUUCUGGCUGCUCCCGUAGGACCUCCUUGCGGGAAUUUUCCCUGGUUGCUGCCUCCAAGGAGAGGCUCCCCACCAGAAAGUUUUAAGAGGCUUAUGCUUCUGGGGUUAAUGCGGUCCUUUCUGUCACCUUGUUUUCUGUUCCUAGUUAUCUUUCGGUAACUUUUUUCCUAAACUACUCUGAAAGGCAUAGACUGUCUCUUGAAAGCUCAUCUGUUCUUAACCCCUUUCCCUCAUUCCACUGACUGCAGCAUCUUCCACAUACCAUUCCCUCUUAGCAUUUAUGUCCAUGUCAUGCUUUUGUUGGUUUAUUUGUGUAUUUUCUGCUUCCCACCAUUAGAUCAUUUGUAGAAUUAAUGAAUGCCUAUGGGUUAAUAGAUUUUUCGCUGUAUCCUCUUUUCUCUGUAUCUCUCUGCCCAGUUGCUUAGAAAUGCUUCUGUUUGUGUAUUUGUAUCCACCUUCUUUGGGGAGAGUUAUGACCCUGGUCCUUAUGCCAUCAGUGGUAUUGCAAUUUUGUAUGUAGCAUGACCAUUUUUAAAAAUGACAUUUCAUAGUGAGUGAUUCAGACACCUAUCAUUCAGCUUACCUGCCGGGGCCCUCCAAAAUGAGCAGAAGGCCUCUGUCUCAUUCUAGAAGCUUGAAGGUCUCCACGUGGUUUGCCCAGGGGCCCACAACCUCCCUGCAGUCCAGGAGUGCUCCCAUUAACCCCAGCUGUGUGAUUCAGACCAGAUUCUUAGGACUUUUUAAGUGAAAUGGGACAGAAAAUUGCUUGAUGUAUUUUGCCACAUGAAGUACAUUUUGCUGCCGCUUAGUUCUUUAUUGUCGUUAGAUUAAAAACUCUCCUAACGUUGUGUGGGUAAGUAAAAAUCUUUUUAUUUUUAUCUGGUAUGUUUUGAAAAAAAGGAAAAAAGAAACUAGACAUUGUCAAAAUAUUUGCUUAAUCUUGCAGAUUUGGGAAGUUGUAUAGCCACUCGCUCUGACAGACCAGAACAAUGGUCAUUAAAUGAGAAGCAGAUGUAAUAAAGUAUGCAGUAAAAGCCUUCUAUUAUGGGCUGGAAGGGGAAAAAAAUGAGUUGUUAACAGAACACAGUAAGCAUUAUGGAAUAAAUCAGAACAAAACCAUUCCCAAUUACUGUACAAAGAUAAUUAAAGUCUACAAUGCUAAUUAAGGUCUGUUUAUAUCUAUUUCUGUUUGUGUACAAACAUAUGCGCAUAGUUAAAUAUUUUCCAUUGUUUUUUAUGUGAUGCUAACUUCAUAGUUGAAUUUUUCUGAAUUUAACUUUUGUUUUUAUGUUACCAGGAAGUACAAUCUCCAGAAAACUGAAACUCCAGCUUUUCCUCCUUGAUCGUAGCUUAUUUUUCUUGGCUAACUUCAGAAAAUUCUUCAAGCCAGGAGGCUUUCUAAGCUUACUCCUGAUGCAGUUAAAACUCAAAGGUUUCUGGAAGCCAAUGAAAAUCCUCACCUCUGACUGAAAUGGAAUUUCAAGGGAAAGAAAAUACAACGUAUUUUAUGAGUCACAAAGACUGUCUGAGUCGCAUUUUCAUCUCUAGAAACUGGAAGAAGUUCUAAGAGUGUGAGGCUGCCACUGCUAGUUCCUGCAGUCAUCUCUCCGAUAUCAUGACUCAAGCCCUCCGGUCGUCUUGGCCACGUUCCCCCUGGUUUAUCCAUAUUCCACGUAAACUGUGUUCAUCAUACUGAAAACAGACCCCUGGAGGAAUUCUGAGGUCCAAGGAUUUGGGCAAGGUCAUUACCUCCUUUUUCCUGGACCAUCUUCUUCAAUUAAUGCAACCUAAGACUGCAAUAAGCUCUUUUACAGGUAUAUAAUUUUGUAUCAUUUGGAGCAUAUUCUUAGAAUUGUUUGGUGUUCUUUCCCCCAUGUAUGCAGCUGAUUUUUAAAAACAGAUCUGUGAUCUAUAGCAAGUUGCUCAAUCUCUUUAAGCCCCACAUUUUUGGUGAGUAAAAUAAUAAUAGCACAGACUUCAUGGCAUUGUGGUGGUGAACAGAUGAGCACCUACGCUUCUCAAUACAGCGUCUUCUACAUAAUAACUUCAAUAAAUAUGAACUAGUAUAAUUAUUGUGUUAUUGGAAAAUUAGAAAUUGCAGGUGAGCAAAAGGCCUUUCUUCCAAACAUUUUUUUUUGUGUAUUUCAAUGUAAUUAAUUUUUUUUACUUAAAAAUUUUGAAUUAAUAUCUCAACUUAUAAGAGCAGCUUUGUCAGUAUAUUUUAAAUGAUUCCCACAAUGCUGAUUUAGGCAUUUUACAUUUUGAUAUGCAUUUUUAGCUGGUUUUCAAAGUCACAAGGCUCUAAGGAAAAGAACUAAUCCUUAGUUGGCAGGAAAGUCCCUCCCCAAAUCCUUGGAUUAAAAUAGAAUCUGCCGCCAGGGCUUUCCUUGUCUUCUGUGAUUGAGAUCUGUCUCAGGUGGGAAGGCAUCCGGUACCUGUGCAUGGCAAGUUCAUUCUUUAGAGAUAGAAUGUGCAACUUUAAUAUUUAUUGAUAGGCACACUAAUUCUCUUGCUGAUGGUAAUUAAUGAGGUGCUUAUAUCUUAUUUUGCGGUAGUUUAACGAGCUUCGGGCUAUAGGAGAGAUCCGGUGCUUGCUGUAAAUGCUGAGAAUCAAAGAUGCUGGAGGAAAAUGCAGAAAAUGGAGCAGAAAAAAUAAGGUUUUAGCAGAUAAAAUAUCUCAGAUUAAAAACACUCUCAAAACAAACCUUGGUAAGGCAGAAGCAUUUAAAAAUCAGGGAGAGCUUGCCAGGGAGGAAAGUCGCAGGUUCCCUAUUCCUUGUUCCCUAAGCAUGCUGUUAAUUUUGACCACCCAUUUGUCUUUCUACCCCUUUGGCUUCGUCUGUGUUAGCAGUGUGAAGUGAAAAAUUGAUAGGAAAAUGUAUUUUUUUUCUUAAGGCUUAGAUAGUUACAGCCAAAACAUUUUGUCAUAUUGGGUUUUGAAUAAUUGUGUCAAAUCUACACUUAAUUUUGCCUUAGACAGCUAGCCUUAUGACCCUAGUUAACCUGUAUUUUCUCUUAUUCUUUCAUCCUUUGGAAAUGAGGUUCACAGAAUACAAAUUCAGAAGAGCAUAAAUUCUAACUCCUUAGAAGACAGGAAUAGAAGUCAAAGUGACCUCAAUAAAUCAAAAGCAAGUUGAAGUUCAAUAGGGACAAAUGUAAGGUAGGAUACUUAUGCCUAAUAGACGGACUCACAAUUUUAAAAUCAUCUGGGCAUGAUUGUGAUGGAAAAGUGUCUCUCUGUCAAGGACAUGAGGAAGCCACAUCCGCAGCCUUGUCUAAGGACCUACUAUGUGCCAGGCAUUUUGCAUAAGUCAGCUUGCUUACAAAUACACUGUAAUAAUCUCAACAGUAACUCUCAAAGCUGUGUAUAAUUUGUGCUCUCAUUUUAUAGAUGUGGAAGCUGAGGCCGAGAGAGGGUAAAUAAUUUGCUCAAAUGUUCACAGUUAGUGAUUUAACUGGUUUUGGAUCCUGCUGUAUCUACUUGACCAAGAGUACUUCAUUACAGAGCUGUUAUUUAAAAAGCCAACCCGGCCGGGUGCGGUGGCUCACGCCUGUGAUCCCAGCACUUUGGGAGGCCGAGGCGGGCAGAUCACAAUGUCAGGAGAUCGAGACCAUCCUGGCUAAUAUGAUGAAGCCCUGUCUCUACUAAAAAUACAAAAAAUUAGCCUGGCGUGGUGGCGGGCGCCUGUAGACGCAGCUACUCGGGAGGCUGAGGCAGGAUAAUGGCGUGAACCCGGGAGGCAGAGCUUGCAGUGAGCCGAAAUUGCGCCACUGCACUCCAGCCUGGGCAACCGAGCGAGACACCCUCCAAAAAAAAAAAAAAAAAAAAAAAGCCAACCCAGUUCUUGGCUAUAGUAACUGAGACUUUACUUGAGAACCAGAUAAUAACCUUUCCAGUAUACUAUACAUUAAUUAAAAUUUAAAAGAAAAAUGAAUAGGAGAAACUGGAGCAAGUCCAAAAAUACCCCACCCAACAACAAAGGCAACAAGAGAAAUUUUUUAAAUUGGCCUAAUAGGUAACAGGCUCAAGGUGUUUGGGAUUGCUUAGCUAGGAAGAAUGCAGCUACAGGGUGAGCGACACACUAAUCCUGUAGACAUCUAAAAGGCAAUAAUAAAGAUUCACAUUUUACAUCAGUAUUUGCAGGUAACAAAGCACUUCCCUGUCAGUUGUCUUACUGGUUUCUCACAGCAGUCAUCCGGAGCAGAAGUCAGCAAACUUUUCUGUAAAGGGCUAGAUAGUUAAAUAUGUUUGGCUUUAUGGGCCAUGCGGUCUCUGUCACAACUCCGCAACAAAAGCAGCCAGAGGCAGUUCAUAAACAAAUGGGCAUGACUGUGAUCCAAUAAAACUCUAUUUACAAGAAGAUGUGACGAGCUGGAUUUGGUUCUCAAGCUGUGGUUAUGUGAAUACAUAUUAUCGUUUCCAUUAUUCAGAUGAGAAAAUUGAGGCUCAGAAAAGUAAAGUGACUUAUCCUAUGCAACUGAAUGAAUAAACAAUGUGUCUGGAACGAGAAUUCACUUUCUGUGGUUAUAGUUUGGUGCUCCAUGAAGUAAAUUGAAGACAUGUACCCAGAAAGAUUUCAGGGAAGUUUGUCAUCCCAAGAUACCAUUUGCCUGUGAUUGUAAUUAAAAUUGGGAGCAGAUGAAUCAAGAAGUUAGAUGAGGCUGGGAGCGCGGUGGCUCACACCUAUAAUCCCAGCAUUUUGGGAGGCCAAGGCAGGCGGAUCACUUGAGCUGAGGAGUUCA
rnacentral:lncRNA from 1 species